UCCCGGGUCAAUCACAAGGUAUUGUUAUACAUAAACCAAACAUAGAAUACAUAUUUUCAUGACGCUACAUAUUUUCAUAUUUGGUGGACUUGCAAGAAAAUUAAGGUCUUUUGGAUAAGAAUUUGGUGGAUUAUUCAAAAUGUACUGAAGAAGAUAAAGUUCCUGCCACAAUUUUUCCUUUUGGGAAUUAUAACGGAUUGUACAGGGAUUGAGACUAAAUUGAUUCUGAAUUUAAUAACAGCAGCAAGACUGUUGAUUGGACAAUACUGGAAGAAAGAAGAGAUACCUACAAUAGAAGAAUGGAUACUGAAAGUUAUUAAUUUGGCUGAGAUGGCUAAAAUCUCAGCUUUUUUAAAAGACAAUACGCAGGAAAGAUAUUUAAUUGAAUGGAAAAAAUGGAUUGAUUAUCUACAAAAUAGAUAUCAGAUUAAGAAAUAUCAGAUUGCCUUUGAAUAAUUAGAAAGUUAUUUUAUGUAAUGGGGAGGGGGUUGGGAGAUGAAAAGCUUUGGAUGUGGUUAUUUGGAUUGGAAGGGAAAAUUCUAUUCUAUGUUUGGUUUAUGUAUAACAAUACCUUGUGAAAGUGCUGGUCUUUCUUAGUACUCAUUUUCCAAACUCAUGCAUGACCUCUUUGAAAAGCCACUGCUACAAUAUUAACUAUUCCAAUAUUUGUUGUCAUUGGAGCACGUUAUUCUUCACAACUUUUCUAUCUCUUUGUUUUUAAGCGCAUCUUCCUUUUCACUUCUUCAGUUCACUGCCCAUUUUUAUCCAUUCUUGGGGUCCAAGAACCUGAAGCUACCAACCACCUUUGCUUCUUUGGCAUCAACUCUGAGUUAGGGGCCGGGGUGGCUCACGUGGUUAGAACGCUGGGUCACAAGACAUUAAGGCCGGCAGUUCGAAACCUGAGUGCGAGCCAUAUGAUGGAAUAGGUUCCCGCCAUUCACUCUAGUUCCUGCCCACCUAGCAGUUUGAAAGCAAAUGCAAGCAGAUAAAUAGGUACCACUUCUGGUUCCUCUCAGGAAUCACCGUUGCGGUGAUGUCACUGGUUAAUCCUAUCAACCCAGAAGUGCCAACACAAACUCUUGACUUCACAAAUCCCGAUUCUCAUUUUUUUUAAAAAAAAAAAAUCAAUAUGAAAUCUACCAAUUUUUCUGCAGUUUUUCUUUUUUCCCGUUUUAACUUCUGCAGGGGUAUCAUAUGCAGUGUUGAUCUAACAGUUCUGUAAGAAGUAAUCAUGCCCCCCCCCAACUAGAGAAUGAAAUAUUUUGGGGAAUAUUAAAAGAGGCGGAAUACUGUAUUACAUUUCCCCAAAGGAGAAAUGGAGAAACAUGCUCUUAAAGGCAGAAAGCAGCCCCAGUUUCCUGCAUAGCAACACAGCCCCCAGCAGAUGCCUGAAAUCUUUAGAAGUGGAGAUAUUACGCCCAUUAAGAAAUCCAUGCCAAUUUCUUCAUAAACAUAACAUCUUCAAUGCCAGGGUGAUGGGGUUAAAGUGGACAGGAUAUGACUUUUAGGACAUAAUCAAUUAACCCAACCCUAUUAGACUAGCAAAAGAUACCAGACUCACUACAAAUGCCCUGAAGCAUUUCAAACACAAACCCCCAGAAACCUAUAAUGAUCCAUCCACACAUUCAGCCAUUUUGUCAGCUGUCCCAGAACCACAUGCUGGUUGUACUCAUCAAUAAACGGACCUUCUUUCCUAAGCAGCUAGCCUCCAUUUUAUUUCCAGUGCCUUUCUCCCAGCUUGGAACUGAACCAGAUGGAUUUUUCUUCCAAUAGUUCUGAUUCCAGAUAUGCUUGCUUUCUUAGUUCCCAUACUAUAUUCAGCAAAUGCUGACAUCAACAUUAAUGAAUGUUCUUAGGAUUCUAAUAUUGUAUUCCGAGACUGAUAAUAGCUCAAUGAUAAUGAGGCCUCAGGGUGAAAUAUAACUAAACCCCAGAAAGAACAUUCUUUAUACUUGGACAUUUUUCACAAGCUACCCUCUCUCCUUCACAACCCAAGGACUGAGUCCUGGGACACCUUAGUCAAGAUAUUCUUGCCCUAGUAGUCUUUUCUAAACAGAUAUAGAGCAGUGAGAUGCUUUCCAGCCCUCCUCAUUCCAUAAGGAUAAACAUAUGUCAAGCAGAAUUCGCCACAGGAAGUUGGCGAACAUUACUCAUAAGGUUAGGAUAAAUAAAAAAAAACACAAAUCAAAUUCUCUACAACAAACAAACAAUGGAUGAACACUUAUCAAGGAGAGAAACAACCAAGAACUAAGAAGAAAUUUCCUGACAGUGGGAACAACUAAACAGUGGAACAACCUGCCUCCAGAAGUUGUGGGUGCUCCAUCACUGGAGGUUUUUAAGAAGAGAUUGGACAGACAUUUGUCUGAAAUGGUAUCAGGUCUCAUGCUUGAUCAGGGGGUUGGACUAGUGGAUCUCCAAGGUCCCUCCCAACUCUUGUUAUUCUGUAUUCUCGAACAUGAAUAUGUGUUGUCAAGUCAGUGUUGACUUUUAACGACUGUCUGGAAAGUACAGGUAGACCUCACUUUAUGACCACAACUGAGCCCAAAGUUUAUGUUGCUAAGUGAGAAAUUUAUUAAGUGAGAUUUGCCCUAUUUUAUGACUUUUUCUUGUCACUUUAUUAAGUGAACCACUGCCGUUGUUAAAAUAACAUGGUCGUUCAGCGAAUCUGGCUUCCCCGCUGACUUUGCUUGUGAGAAGGUCGCAAAAAGCGAUCACAUGACCCCAGACAUGGCAACUGUCAUAAAUGCGAGUCGGUGGCCAAGCAUCUGAAUUUUGAUCACGUGACCAUGGGGAAUAUUGCAGUAGUCAAGUGUGAAAAAUGGUCAUAAGUCAUGCUGUUGUUAACUUUCAAUGGUCACUAAGGGAACUGUUGUUAAGUUGAGGAUUACCUGUACAUAAAAAUCAAACUACUCUGUUUUUUUUCAAUCAUGAUUUUGGCAGCCCCCUGCCUUGCAGAUCAGAUAUUGCACAAGAAUUCCCUAUCUGGAGGCUGGGCUUUUUAAUGAUUUGGAGAGACUGAGCCCAGGUCAAGCUUGUACUAAUACCUCUGUAUAAAGCCUUAAUAAGACCACACCUAUAAUACUGCAUCCAGUUUUGGUCACCACUAUAAAAAGAUGGUGAUACUCUGGAAAUAGUGCAGAGAAGAGCAACCAGGAUGAUUAGGGGACUGGAGACUAAAACAUAUGAUGAACUGUUGCAGGAACUGGGCAUUGCUAGUCUAGUGAAGAGAAGGACCAGGGGAGACAUGAUAGCAGUGUUCCAAUAUCUCAGGGGCUGCCACAAAGAAGAGGGAGUCAAGCUUUUUCUCCAAAGCACCUGAGGGCAGGACAAGAAGCAAUGGAUGGAAACUGAACAAGGAGAGAUUUAACCUGGAAAAGGAAAAUUUCUGACAGUGAGAACAAUCAACCGAUGGAACAGCUUGCCUUGGGAAGUUGUGGGAGCUUCAUUACUGGAGGCUUUCAAAAAGAGAUUGGACUGCCAUUUAUCAGAAACGGUUUAAAGUCUCCUGCUUUGGUGGGGGUUGGACUAGAUGACCACAAGGUCCUUUCCAACUGUUAAAUCUGCUAUUUCAUAUAUUUGCAGGGGUAUAAGACCAGUUGCAAUGACAUCAGGAGCACGUGUGUCCUUUUUCACCAGCCACGGAAAGCCAAAAAAAAAAAUAUAAUAACCUAGGCACGUGUGAAACCCCUAUUCACGUUUGGCCCCUUGCAUUAAAAUAAACUACUCCAAAGUCCAUCUCCGGCCCUUCUUAAACAUCACACCCCACCGAUGCAGAGGGGACAUCGGGUGACAGCAACGUCACCUACCAAGGGGGAAAAAAAACCCCCAAGUUUUCUGCAAUCAUCAUUUUGUCCUCUUAUCCCAGAUCUGAGCUCAAGCAAGGCGCUGGAUUACCGAUCCCAUCAUCCCCCGCCGGAGGGCCAGGACAGCUUCUCCCCCAAACAGACCUUUAGAGGUGCCGCCUCGAUGGGAGUUGGAAUCCCCCACAUCGGGGCAGCCGACGCGGACGGAGCUUACCCGGCUUGUUUCCCCGCUUUCACCCAGACAGCCGGAGCAUUGCACGGACUUCGGGGAAAGAGCCGGCGGUCUGCCCGGUGAACGAGCCUCAAUUGCGAACAGGGUUUUUCGAGAAGCCCGGCGCUCGCCUUCCCCUAAAUUGCCUGAACGCCCGUCCCGACGCCUCGCCUGCCCGCCAAGCCCCAGACACGCUCCGCCGAGCCGAUGCCGACGGAUGCAGCUCGCCUGCCGCUCUCCGCUGCUCCGCGCCGCCGAGCUCACCGGACGCCCACGCAAAGCCUGCUGGGUUUUGCGCGCCUGGACCCGAAUUUCCUCCCUUCUUCCUCUCAUUGGCUGAACGCGCCAACCUCGCUCAGUGGCUCUCCCGAGUUCGGAGGGCGGGGCGAGGGGCGGAGCCUGUCGCCUGCGAUUCUUUAGUCUGCGCAGUGAGGCUGUCCCGUGAAUGCAAAAUAAGGUUUUGGAGUUGUUUUUAAAUUGUUGUUGUGUUUGGGGGAAAUUAAGAGAAUUAAAAAGAAAAAAAGGAGGAGGGUAAACGUAAAGGAUAAACAUUGGAAGAAUUCAGGGGUGUCAAAAUGGCGGCCCAGGGCCAAGAUGCGUCACGCACAGGCCACGCCCACCCCAGCUCCGCAAAGGGAAAAAAAGUCACAAUACGUCACGUGAGGGCAACGUGACACGGCAAGUUUGACACCCAUGUCCUUGGGGUUUCUUCAGAGACAUAUUCAGAAUAUAGAUUCCAUCUCCCUUGUCUGCAUUCUGGUUUGACAGCCAAAAUAGUUCAUUUCACAAGCAAAGCUUUCAGCUUAAGGUGCUUCUCACCCAGCAUGCCCGAAAUAGCUGGACUUCACCUCUUUACCACAUACCUUGCCCUACUUCCUGGCUUUACCAUUAAACUUGAUGAACUUCAUUAAAUUUCUACAAAAGAUACAAUAUCAAAAAGCAAGAAAAAAGAACAAUUUAAAAAAUAGGGGAAAGGAGGAUGCAAAGGAAUAAAGAAAGAAGCAAAACAGAAAAACUUCCAAUUUUCUUCAGUGCAGUCACAAAUACAAAAUACGUUAAGCUUUUGGUCUAAAAUUCCAUAUAGGGCAGUAUUUCCUAUAAUCAUAAUUCUACUGGCCACAGUCUGAUCGCCUUUUUCUCCUUCCGUGUUUCCACGGUCUGUUUGAAAGAGCAUUCCCAGUGAAUAAUGGCCCUUGAUUUUCCAUCCAUCACAAUUCAUCAUUAAGGCCAUGCUAUAAAACAGGGCGUUCCAACCUUGGCAACUUUAAGCCUGGAGGACUUCAACUUCCCAGCAAAGCUGGCUGGGGAAUUCUGGGAGUUGAAAUCCACCAGGCUUAAAGUUGCCAAGGUUGGGGACCCCUGCUAUAUAACAAGAGAAUAUAUGGCUUUCAACAGCUGGGAUAUUUUUUCCUACCCUCUGUGAUUAUACUGUUUUCCCAGAAAAAGCAAGAAUAACCCAGUGCCCUUCUUUUUCCUAUCCGGGUGAAGCCACUGAUAUCAUUUCCCUUUCUGAACAACAAAAUGGGACCCAACAGCAUUUUUCUGCUGGAGUUCCUUUCCUAGAAAUGCAUGAAAAGAGGCUUUCGCCUCUUUCCUUCCCAUAUCCUUGCAUGCAGGGGUGGGCUUCAGAUCCUUUAGCAAUGAGUUCACUAUCCUGUUGCUGAGUGGGCGUGGCCAUGGUGGGCGUGGCCUACUCAGCCAUCUAUACUACAGGAGGGGGGCGUUUUUCACCCUCCUCAGGC